ensembl:lncRNA
CUAGGGGCUCCUUGUGGCGUGCCUGCAGGCUGACCCCGUCGCCAUUUGAACCGUGUUUCAUGCAACACAUUGGUGUGGCUGGCUUCCGGGUUAUGCUGGCUGGUGUAAAAGAGAGCAGUUAGGCAGGUCAUGUUUCGGAGGACUCAUGACUCUACCUUCGCCUCUCCCGAGCCUGUGGAGAAGAGAGGCGGCGAUGAGUGGAGUUGCAGCGGAGUUGUGGAGUUGCAGCGAUGAGACAAGAUCGAAGAAGGGGGUAGUACUUUUUUUUCUAAAUCUAUUUAAAAAAGGGGGCAUUAGGCGGUGGACAUGGCUGUGGGCGCUUUCGGCCUGUCGACGCGGCUGAAUGUAGUAAUGGGGCCCUGAGCAAGAACAUUCUAGAGCCUUCUUGGCAGCGGAGAGAAUGUUGCUAUUUUAAAGUACAUUUCUUACAAUUCUAGUCACAAAUUCUUCCAUAGAGCUUAGAGAAUGUGCAGUUUAUAAACAGCAUUUCACCACUUUCACAACUUUUGUUUUCACGGAUUUAUAGCAGCACUGGUGCUUAUUUCUUAGAGCAGUUUAAAUUGAUAGAUGUCAAGUUAAUUAUUUUGUGAACUUAGUGCCAAAAGAGAAAGAGGAACAAAAUCUGUUUCUGGUUCCAUUUCAACCAGUGUGGUAUGUUCCGUUUCAAACUUUGAGUGGAGAACACCUGCGUAGACAGGCCUACAUACUACAGAGCCAUCCAUUUUGUGACAAAAUACGACAUUCACAUAUUGCUUCGUACUCCAUUUGCAGGAACUGUAAUGUGUGUCGAGCCGCUUACAGGAUGUUCAGUUGGAAAUGUACUGUGCAGAACAGACUGUCAUUCAGAAAAGGCAUGCCCGUUCUUACAUUACUUUUCUAUCUACAACAUUCUGAACAGCCAGCUCCCUGUGCACCGAGCCUCACCCAAACAAACACUCACCCCCAAUAGUUUGUCACAGACGAUAUGAAUUACAUUUUCACACUAGCCCACACUGACACUAAUUCAGUUCCUCCUGUGCCGAGGCCUCUACACACUGACACCCACCCCCCUUUAAACAGAAUCCCACAGAUACCGGCUCUCCCACACUGCCUAACCAGCAUUAACACCUCCACCUGUCUAACCCACACAGUGAAACCGGUCCCUACCAUAUACACUCCUACGUUUCAUCUAUUCUCUCCAUCACACUGGUUAUUACUAUAAUGCUCAUUCUCUAAUACUGACAUGCUGGCCAUCUCACUGAGCAGUGUACUGGACUGUUAUUGGUCAUUCAGUACUAAAUGCUGGGCAAGAUGUACUGUGGUCGAUUCUCCCUGUGUUGAUUCAUGCAACACUUGUGAAUUUUCUCUCAUGAACUCAAUUUGUGUGUCUUCACUGCCAAAAUUCUCUACCUAAAUAAAU